UACGUAGGGGGCAAGCGUUGUUCGGAAUUACUGGGCGUAAAGGGCGCGUAGGCGGUCAGCACAAGUCAGUUGUGAAAUCUCCGGGCUUAACUCGGAAAGGUCAACUGAUACUGUGCGACUAGAGUGCAGAAGGGGCAACUGGAAUUCUCGGUGUAGCGGUGAAAUGCGUAGAUAUCGAGAGGAACACCUGCGGCGAAGGCGGGUUGCUGGGCUGACACUGACGCUGAGAUGCGAAAGUGUGGGGAGCAAACGGG
rnacentral:rRNA from 1 species